rnacentral:rRNA from 1 species
AUUGAACGCUGGCGGAAUGCUUUACACAUGCAAGUCGAACGAUGAACCUUAGCUUGCUAAGGGGAUUAGUGGCGAACGGGUGAGUAAUAUAUCGGAACGUACCUUGUAAUGGGGGAUAACUAGUCGAAAGAUUAGCUAAUACUGCAUACGCCCUGAGGGGGAAAGUAGGGGAUCUUCGGACCUUACGUUAUAAGAGCGGCCGAUAUCUGAUUAGCUAGUUGGUGGGGUAAUGGCCUACCAAGGCGACGAUCAGUAGCUGGUCUGAGAGGACGACGAGCCACACUGGAACUGAGACACGGUCCAGACUCCUACGGGAGGCAGCAGUAGGGAAUUAUGGGAGAUGGGCGCAAGCCUGAUCCAGCCAUGCCGCGUGAGUGAAGACGGCCUUCGGGUUGUAAAGCUCUUUCGCAAGGGAAGAAAACUUACAUUCUAAUAAAGUGUGAGGCUGACGGUACCUUGAUAAGAAGCACCGGCUAACUACGUGGCAGCAGCCGCCGUAA